rnacentral:rRNA from 1 species
UACGUAGGGACCAAGCGUUGUUCGGAUUUACUGGGCGUAAAGGGCGCGUAGGCGGCAAUUCAAGUCAGUUGUGAAAUCUCCGAGCUUAACUCGGAACGGUCAACUGAUACUGUUUUGCUAGAGUACAGAAGGGGCAAUCGGAAUUCUUGGUGUAGCGGUGAAAUGCGUAGAUAUCAAGAGGAACACCUGAGGUGAAGACGGGUUGCUGGGCUGAUGACUGACGUGAGGCGCGAAAAGCUAGGGGUAGCAAACGGG